rnacentral:rRNA from 1 species
AAUACGGGAUAAUAUAUUUGAGAGGCAUCUCUUGAAUAUCAAAGGUGAGCCAGUACAGGAGGGACCCGCGUCUGAUUAGCUAGUUGGUAAGGUAACGGCUUACCAAGGCGACGAUCAGUAGCCGACCGGAGAGGGUGAUCGGCCACAUUGGAACUGAGACACGGUCCAAACUCCUACGGGAGGCAGCAGUGGGGAAUAUUGCACAAUGGGCGAAAGCCUGAUGCAGCAACGCCGCGUGAGUGAUGAAGGCCUUCGGG